ACCGCCCAUCCAAAUCCAACGUCCGCCUAAAGAAAAACACGCACACACUUCUUCUGCUUCCCUCCCCUUGUUUCCGCUCCACUUCCCUUCCAAGCAAGAAAACCGAGGCUUCAGCUUAGCUAGGACCGACCGAUCCGAUGUGCGGCGGUGCAAUCAUCUACGACUACAUCCCGGCGCGCCGCCGGGUGUGCGCCUCCGACUUUUGGCCCGACGCCGACGACUCCGACCCCCACACCCCCGCUCCCGAGAAACGUAACUUCUUCUCCUCUCAUGGCCUCUGCUUCUUGCUCUGUUUUUUUUUCUUUCUUGGCUGAUGUCUCUGGUUGAAUUGUGCAGCGCCGCGCGCGAAGAGGGAGCGGAAGAACCAGUACCGCGGGAUCAGGCAGCGGCCGUGGGGGAAGUGGGCGGCGGAGAUCCGCGACCCGGUGAAGGGGGUGCGCGUCUGGCUCGGCACCUACCCGACCGCCGAGGCCGCCGCGCGGGCCUACGACCGCGCCGCGCGCCGCAUCAGGGGCGCCAAGGCGAAGGUCAACUUCCCCAACGACUUGGGCGCCGCCCCCGCGCCGGCCGCGGCGGCGGCGAAGGCCGUCCCUCGCGUCGCGCCCACGCCGGCCGUGCUCCCGCCGCCCAAGAUGGAGGCGGUGUCCGAGGGCGCCGGCGCCUGCUCCUCCGACGAGGUCAAGGAGCUGUCCGAGGAGCUGCUCGCGUACGAGAACUACAUGAGCUUCCUCGGCAUCCCCUACAUGGAGGGCGGCGCCGCCUCCGCCGCCGGUGCCGAGGAAGCCGCGGCGCCCGCCGGGCUCUGGACCUUCGAAGACUACGAGCUGCCGUCGCUAGCGCUCUAGUAAAAAUGUCACAAUAAAAAUGACAUGUAUGUGAAAAAAAUUUUCCCUACCCGUAGUAAGUAACCAGUGUCUUUUUUUACCGUACUCUAUGCGUUAUUUUUGUUGAAAUUAAUCCAUUGUUGAAGUUGUAACUGUGCAUGGUCGGCGCCAGUCUCAGUGAAGCUUUUGCUGAAUCCAAGUUUUUCUCUAAUGUAAAUAUGAAAUUUCCAGUUAACUCAGCUUGCAAUUCUUACCAC
rnacentral:lncRNA from 1 species